AGAACGAACGCUGGCGGCAUGCCUAAUACAUGCAAGUCGAACGAACACUUCGGUGUUAGUGGCGCGACGGGUGCGUAACGCGUGGGAAUCUGCCCUUGGGUUCGGAAUAACAGUUGGAAACGACUGCUAAUACCGGAUGAUAUCGAAAGAUCAAAGAUUUAUCGCCCAGGGAUGGAGCCCGCGUAGGAUUAGCUAGUUGGUGAGGUAAAGGCUCACCAAGGCGACGAUCCUUAGCUGGUCUGAGAGGAUGAUCAGCCACACUGGGACUGAGACACGGCCCAGACUCCUACGGGAGGCAGCAGUAGGGAAUAUUGGACAAUGGGACAAAGCCUGAUCCAGCAAUGCCGCGUGAGUGAUGAAGGCCUUAGGGUUGUAAAGGCUUCGUUUUUACCCGGGGAUUGGAAUAAUGUAACCAGGUUAACCGGGAGAA
rnacentral:rRNA from 1 species